UACGAAGGGGGCUAGCGUUGUUCGGAAUUACUGGGCGUAAAGCGCGUGUAGGCGGCUCGAUAAGUCUGCUGUGAAAGUUCAGGGCUCAACCCUGAAAUGCCGGUGGAAACUGUCGAGCUAGAGUCCGGAAGAGGCGAGUGGAAUUCCUGGUGUAGCGGUGAAAUGCGCAGAUAUCAGGAGGAACACCAAUGGCGAAGGCAGCUCGCUGGGACGGUACUGACGCUGAGACGCGAAAGCGUGGGGAGCAAACAGG
rnacentral:rRNA from 1 species